UACGUAGGGCGCAAGCGUUGUCCGGAAUUAUUGGGCGUAAAGAGCUCGUAGGCGGCUUGUCACGUCGGGUGUGAAAGCCCGGGGCUUAACCCCGGGUCUGCCAUUCGAUACGGGCUAGCUAGAGUGUGGUAGGGGAGGAUGGAAUUCCUGGUGUAGCGGUGAAAUGCGCAGAUAUCAGGAGGAACACCGGUGGCGAAGGCGGAUCUCUGGGCCAUUACUGACGCUGAGGAGCGAAAGCGUGGGGAGCGAACAGG
rnacentral:rRNA from 1 species